rnacentral:rRNA from 1 species
GAUGAACGCUAGCGGGAGGCUUAACACAUGCAAGUCGAGGGGCAGCAUAGGGUAGCAAUACUCUGAUGGCGACCGGCAGACGGGUGAGUAACGCGUAUGUAACCUACCCUGUACAGGGGGAUAACCCGGAGAAAUUCGGACUAAUAUCCCAUGGAAAUAUUGAGAGGCAUCUUUGAUAUUUAAAGUUCCGGCGGUACGGGAUGGGCAUGCGUAACAUUAGCUAGUUGGUAAGGUAACGGCUUACCAAGGCUUUGAUGUUUAGGGGUCCUGAGAGGGUGAUCCCCCACACUGGUACUGAGACACGGACCAGACUCCUACGGGAGGCAGCAGUGAGGAAUAUUGGUCAAUGGGCGCAAGCCUGAACCAGCCAUCCCGCGUGCAGGAAGACGGCGCUAUGCGUUGUAAACUGCUUUUCCAGGGGGAGAAACUUGCGUACGUGAUACGCAAUUGACGGUACCCUGGGAAUAAGCAUCGGCUAACUCCGUG